UGCAGUCGAACGAUGAAGCCCAGCUUGCUGGGUGGAUUAGUGGCGAACGGGUGAGUAACACGUGAGUAACCUGCCCCUGACUCUGGGAUAAGCCCGGGAAACUGGGUCUAAUACCGGAUAUGACUUUUGACCGCAUGGUUGAGGGUGGAAAGAUUUAUCGGUUGGGGAUGGACUCGCGGCCUAUCAGCUUGUUGGUGAGGUAAUGGCUCACCAAGGCGACGACGGGUAGCCGGCCUGAGAGGGUGACCGGCCACACUGGGACUGAGACACGGCCCAGACUCCUACGGGAGGCAGCAGUGGGGAAUAUUGCACAAUGGGCGCAAGCCUGAUGCAGCGACGCCGCGUGAGGGAUGACGGCCUUCGGGUUGUAAACCUCUUUCAGUAGGGAAGAAGCGAAAGUGACGGUACCUGCAGAAGAAGCGCCGGCUAACUACGUGCCAGCAGCCGCGGUAAUACGUAGGGCGCAAGCGUUAUCCGGAUUUAUUGGGCGUAAAGAGCUCGUAGGCGGUUUGUCGCGUCUAUCGUGAAAGUCCGAGGCUCAACCUCGGAUCUGCGGUGGGUACGGGCAGACUAGAGUGAUGUAGGGGAGACUGGAAUUCCUGGUGUAGCGGUGAAAUGCGCAGAUAUCAGGAGGAACACCGAUGGCGAAGGCAGGUCUCUGGGCAUUUACUGACGCUGAGGAGCGAAAGCAUGGGGAGCGAACAGGAUUAGAUACCCUGGUAGUCCAUGCCGUAAACGUUGGGCACUAGGUGUGGGGGACAUUCCACGUUUUCCGCGCCGUAGCUAACGCAUUAAGUGCCCCGCCUGGGGAGUACGGCCGCAAGGCUAAAACUCAAAAGGAAUUGACGGGGGCCCGCACAAGCGGCGGAGCAUGCGGAUUAAUUCGAUGCAACGCGAAGAACCUUACCAAGGCUUGACAUGUUCCAGAUCGCCUCAGAGAUGGGGUUUCCCUUUCGGGGCUGGUUCAC
rnacentral:rRNA from 1 species